AUUGAACGCUGGCGGCAGGCCUAACACAUGCAAGUCGAGCGGUUGUUGGGAUCUUGCUCCUGGAUUCAGCGGCGGACGGGUGUGUAAUGCCUAGGAAUCUGCCUUGUAGUGGGGUAUAACGUCCGGAAACGGGCUCUAAUACCGCUUACGUCCUGAGGGUGAUAGUUUGGGAUCUUCGGACCUCACGCUUUCAGAUGAGCCUUGGUCGGAUUAGCUAGUUGGUGUGGUAAAGGCCUACCAAGGCUACGAUCCGUAACUGGUCUGAGAGGAUGAUCAGUGAAACUGGAACGGAGACACGGAAAAGAGAACGACGGGAGGCAGCAGAGGGGAAUAUUGGACAAUGGGGGAAAGCAUGAUACAGCCAAGCCGCGUGGGAGAAGAAGGGAUGGGGAUUGGAAAGAAAAUUAAGUUGGGAGGAAGGGAAGUAAGAUAAUAGCGAGAUGAAUUGACGUUAACAACAGAAUAAGCACCGGCUAACUACGUG
rnacentral:rRNA from 1 species